rnacentral:rRNA from 1 species
AUUGAACGCUGGCGGCAGGCUUAACACAUGCAAGUCGAACGAGUGGCGGACGGGUGCGUAAUGCUUGGGAAUCUGCCUUAUGGAGGGGGAUAACGACGGGAAACUGUCGCUAAUACCGCGUACCAUCGGAUGCGCCCAAGUGGGAUUAGGUAGUAGGUGGGGUAAUGGCCUACCAAGCCGACGAUCUAUAGCUGGUCUGAGAGGAUGACCAGCCACACCGGGACGGAGACACGGCCCGGACUCCUACGGGAGGCAGCAGUGGGGAAUAUGGCGCAAUGGGGGCAACCUGACGCAGCCAUGCCGCGUGAAUGAAGAAGGCCUUCGGGUUGUAAAGUUCUUUCGGUGACGAGGCGUUAAUCACAGAAGAAGCACCGGCUAACUCCGUGCCAGCAGCCGCGGUAAUAC